rnacentral:rRNA from 1 species
UGCAAGUCGAACGGUGAAGGAGGAGCUUGCUCUUCUGGAUCAGUGGCGAACGGGUGAGUAACACGUGAGCAACCUGCCCCUGACUCUGGGAUAAGCGCUGGAAACGGCGUCUAAUACUGGAUACGAGUAGCGACCGCAUGGUCAGCUACUGGAAAGAAUUUCGGUUGGGGAUGGGCUCGCGGCCUAUCAGCUUGUUGGUGAGGUAAUGGCUCACCAAGGCGUCGACGGGUAGCCGGCCUGAGAGGGUGACCGGCCACACUGGGACUGAGACACGGCCCAGACUCCUACGGGAGGCAGCAGUGGGGAAUAUUGCACAAUGGGCGAAAGCCUGAUGCAGCAACGCCGCGUGAGGGAUGACGGCCUUCGGGUUGUAAACCUCUUUUAGCAGGGAAGAAGCGAAAGUGACGGUACCUGCAGAAAAAGCGCCGGCUAACUACGUGCCAGCAGCCGCGGUAAUACGUAGGGCGCAAGCGUUAUCCGGAAUUAUUGGGCGUAAAGAGCUCGUAGGCGGUUUGUCACGUCUGCUGUGAAAUCUGGGGGCUCAACCCCCAGCCUGCAGUGGGUACGGGCAGACUAGAGUGCGGUAGGGGAGAUUGGAAUUCCUGGUGUAGCGGUGGAAUGCGCAGAUAUCAGGAGGAACACCGAUGGCGAAGGCAGAUCUCUGGGCCGUAACUGACGCUGAGGAGCGAAAGGGUGGGGAGCAAACAGGCUUAGAUACCCUGGUAGUCCACCCCGUAAACGUUGGGAACUAGUUGUGGGGUCCAUUCCACGGAUUCCGUGACGCAGCUAACGCAUUAAGUUCCCCGCCUGGGGAGUACGGCCGCAAGGCUAAAACUCAAAGGAAUUGACGGGGACCCGCACAAGCGGCGGAGCAUGCGGAUUAAUUCGAUGCAACGCGAAGAACCUUACCAAGGCUUGACAUAUACGAAGAACGGGCCAGAAAUGGUCAACUCUUUUGGACACUCGUAAACAGGUGGUGCAUGGUUGUCGUCAGCUC